CGGCGCGACGCCUCAGUUCCUCGCCGUCGCUGGGCACCGGAACACUCGCCAGUGGGAUAGGAGCCACCUCUCCGUCACCGCAGCCAGCCAUGGGGAUGGAGUAUUUCCAAGAGUGGUCCCGGGAGGUCAAGACUUCCUCGUCUACUACGACGACUACCAUGACAACGGCGGCGAAGUUGUACGGGAAGGAUGUGAGCGAGUAUGAACACCUGGACGUGGAUCAGCUGCUCAAUCAGUUAACCCCGGAGGAAAUAGACAUCCUAGCCAAGGAAGUGGACCCAGAUGAUCAGUUUCUGCCACCUUCUCAGCGCUGCAACUACUCCUGUGAGAAAAGUCCAACAGGCCCACUGAACCGCAAGAAGCUGAUAGAGCAUAUCAACAAGCAGGCUCUCGAGACUCCUGACAAGCCGGAGCUGAAGCCGUACGUACCUGGCACCGUCCGUGGCAAGAAGUGGAUACCUCCACCACCUCCACAACGUGAAAUAGAUGCUGAUGAGCAGAUUGCCAUAGACCUGGGUGACGAGUAUGAAACUGCUCUCGAUAAAGCGACGCAGGAGGAAAUAAUUGAUCUUGCAGCUAUCCUGGGCUUCCACUCGAUGAUGAACCAGGAGCAGUACCACGCAUCUCUGCUCAACAAGGACCAGCCAGUCGGUCUGGGCUGGGAUGGCAUCACGAAGGCUUCGCAGCCGAAGCCGUACCCGGCUGAGCCGCCCAACCUCACAGAUCCCGACUCAACUAUUCAGCAAGUCAAGGAUGAUGACCCCACUCUUAUUGACCUCAACUGGAACAACAUUAAGAAUAUUUCUGAAGAAAAAUUUGAGCACCUUUUCAAUGCGCUGCCUGAGAACACCCAUUUGGAAACACUGAGUUUGAGCAAUGUGGGAAUGACGGACAACUCUGCUAUCAAGUUAGCAGAAGCACUCGAGCGCAACACUACUUUACGUGUCGUCAAUGUGGAAACAAACUUCAUCAGUCCACCCGUUAUUGUGAAGCUUAUUAAAUCCCUCUUGGCAACCAAAACAAUUGAAGAGUUCAGAUGCUCUAAUCAGAGGUCGCAGGUGCUGGGCAACAAGAUAGAGAUGGACAUAACGGGCCUGGUGGAGCAGAACCCGACACUUCUGCGGCUCGGCCUCCACCUGGAGUACAAUGACGCACGCCACCGCGUUGCAGCUCACCUCCAGAGGAACAUCGACAGGAUCUGUCGGCUGGGUGCUAAAGCUCAGUUCAAGAUAUCCCUGGGUCCGGGCAAGGCCCCUUUUCAGAUCGUCUCGAGAAAGUGACAAUGCAAUGCCAAAGUCCCUUCCCUUUUCAGCAACAUACGCCUGUCUCGUGUGGGAGCGACAAACUCGUAGUGUGCGAUGAUGUCUCUAAUAGGGGCCAGUGUGCACAGAAAUCUCAGCUUUUCUGUCUUUUAAACAAAUGUAAUUAAGACUACCAGUGAUCUUUCGAAACUUCCUUCUUAAAUGCUAAUAGAACUGUAACAUUCUAGCCUCAAACAGUAACAACAUGAUUAAACAUUUGGUAUUGUUAUAAGUAUUGCUUGUAAACUGAUUUAAAUACUUCACACAGCUCUGGCCAUAAUAAUACCUAUCAAUCAUCAUCAGUUUGAGCGAUGAGGCUGAUGCACUUGCAGAACAUUAAAAGUAAAUCUUUUUGACUUAAAAAGAAAAGAAAACUAUUUUGUUGUUAAUUCCUGUAAAGAAAAAUAUUUCAUUUAUAAUUAAUUAAUUAUCACUGAUAUUUAUUAUUGUAUCUGAAAUAUACUCUGACAUUUACAUUGCAA